rnacentral:rRNA from 1 species
UACGGGGGGGGCAAGCGUUGUUCGGAAUUACUGGGCGUAAAGAGUGUGUAGGCGGUUCCCUAAGUUCGGUGUGAAAUCUCCCGGCUCAACUGGGAGGGUGCGCCGGAAACUGGGGGGCUCGAGUGUGGGAGAGGAAAGCGGAAUUCCUGGUGUAGCGGUGAAAUGCGUAGAGAUCAGGAGGAAUACCGAUGGCGAAGGCAGGUCCCUGGGUUAACACUGACGCUCAUGCACGAAAGCGUGGGGAGCAAACAGG